UGGAGUCCAGACUGGUUGGACUGGGUC
rnacentral:piRNA from 1 species